rnacentral:rRNA from 1 species
UACAGAGGGUGCAAGCGUUAAUCGGAAUUACUGGGCGUAAAGCGCGCGUAGGUGGUUUGUUAAGUUGGAUGUGAAAGCCCCGGGCUCAACCUGGGAACUGCAUCCAAAACUGGCAAGCUAGAGUACGGUAGAGGGUGGUGGAAUUUCCUGUGUAGCGGUGAAAUGCGUAGAUAUAGGAAGGAACACCAGUGGCGAAGGCGGCUCUCUGGACCGAUACUGACGCUGAGGCGCGAAAGCCAGGGGAGCAAACGGG